GGCUUAGAAAAUUAGAGAGUAGACUGAAAGCUGCUUAACCAAUUGAGAGUAUCUAAAGCAGACCCCAAUUGGCCCUUGUUGUUGUUGUGAGUUGUGACAAAUCUUAUAAAAACCUUUCAUUCCUAGAAGAUAAGACGAAAUUCAAAACUCAUAAGUCAAAAAUAUGGACCUACUUUUAUAGAACUGAGGUUGUCGGACUGUUAUAUCAUCAUCAUCUUCACCGAGGCUGAGUCUCAAUGGAUGAGUUAACCGACGAGUUGCUCAUUGAAACCUUUGUCUUCUUCACCAAAUCGAAGCGUUACCGGCACCAAAUUGGAGAUUUUGAUUAACCAAUAUCUUUUGUAUGACCCGGAUUUGUUUGAAAUGGGAAAUAGAGGUUUGAUAAUCUAUUGGCAUAUGGGUAUUCUCAAAGGCAUAGAGAUAGCUGGGAGAGAAAGAUUACCAAGGAGCAACUACUAUAUGGCAAAAGUUUGGCACAAAUCAAAAUUUUUAUUGUGAAAAUAAUAUUUUUUGAUAAAUAAGAAUCUCAAUUAAAAUUGUA